rnacentral:rRNA from 1 species
CAGCAGCCGCGGUAAGACAGAGGAUGCAAGCGUUAUCCGGAAUGAUUGGGCGUAAAACGUCUGUAGGUGGCUUUUCAAGUCCGCCGUCAAAUCCCAGGGCUCAACCCUGGACAGGCGGUGGAAACUACCAAGCUGGAGUACGGUAGGGGCAGAGGGAAUUUCCGGUGGAGCGGUGAAAUGCGUAGAGAUGUGGAGGAACACCAGUGGCGAAGGCGACUCUCUGGUCUGUAACUGAUACUGAGGAGCGAAAGCGUGGGGAGCGAACAGGAUUAGAUACCCCCGUAGUCCCUGUCUCUUAUAC